rnacentral:snRNA from 1 species
UGAUAUGAGAUGUCAUUUGUGUUGGGAAGAUCUGUUUGUGACUCCUGCUGUCACAUUGAUCAGCAAGUUUGAUUCAGCUGCUCUUGCUGGUCCCCCACCACUGUGAGCUCAGUUGAAGAGGAUGGCCUUCCAUGAAUAUGAAAAGAGCAGUCUUCAGUCAAGGGCACAAGAGUAGCUGUAUUUCCGUGCUAGAACUUCCAAACAAGCUCUCCGGGGAUAUUUUAAAUUAAUAGCUCUUAUAAAGCAGGAGCACUGUAUUUUUAAUGGAAACCGUGAGGUUUUGUUUU